UACAGAGGGUGCGAGCGUUAAUCGGAAUUACUGGGCGUAAAGCGCGCGUAGGCGGCUUCGCAAGUCGGGUGUGAAAUCCCCAGGCUUAACCUGGGAACUGCAUUCGAGACUGCGUUGCUAGAGUAUGGGAGAGGGAAGUGGAAUUUCAGGUGUAGCGGUGAAAUGCGUAGAUAUCUGAAGGAACAUCAGUGGCGAAAGCGACUUCCUGGACCAAUACUGACGCUCAUGUGCGAAAGCGUGGGGAGCAAACAGG
rnacentral:rRNA from 1 species